AUACCACUCUUUCCGUCCAACAAAAGAUGUCUCAAGUUUUUCAAAUUUCGGAUGUAUCUAGACAUGACUUAGUGUAUAUAUGCAUUUAAAUUUAAUCAAAAUUGAGACAUUUUUGUUGAACAGAGGAAGUAAUUG
rnacentral:pre_miRNA from 1 species